rnacentral:rRNA from 1 species
UACGUAGGGUGCGAGCGUUAAUCGGAAUUACUGGGCGUAAAGCGCACGUAGGCGGCUUGGUAUGUCGGGUGUGAAAUCCCCGGGCUCAACCUGGGAACUGCAUCCGAAACUGCCUUGCUCGAGUAUGGGAGAGGGAAGUGGAAUUUCCGGUGUAGCGGUGAAAUGCGUAGAUAUCGGAAGGAACAUCAGUGGCGAAGGCGACUUCCUGGACCAAUACUGACGCUCAGGUGCGAAAGCGUGGGGAGCAAACAGG